rnacentral:tRNA from 1 species
GGUGCAAAUAAAGACUUUAAUCCUGCCUUUUAAGCAGGGUGUCCGGGGUUCGAUUCCCCGGCGGGUCACCA